rnacentral:rRNA from 1 species
GCGGUAAUACGAAGGGGGCUAGCGUUGCUCGGAAUUACUGGGCGUAAAGGGAGCGUAGGCGGAUAGUUUAGUCAGAGGUGAAAGCCCAGGGCUCAACCUUGGAAUUGCCUUUGAUACUGGCUAUCUUGAGUACGGAAGAGGUAUGUGGAACUCCGAGUGUAGAGGUGAAAUUCGUAGAUAUUCGGAAGAACACCAGUGGCGAAGGCGACAUACUGGUCCGUUACUGACGCUGAGGCUCGAAAGCGUGGGGAGCAAACAGGAUU